UGGGUAGGGGAGCGUCGUGUGCCGGGUGAAGCAGCGCCGGAAGGUAGUUGUGGACGGUUCACGAGUGAGAAUGCAGGCAUGAGUAGCGAUACACACGUGGGAAACGUGUGCGCCGAUUGACUAAGGGUUCCUGGGUCCAGCUGAUCUGCCCAGGGUAAGUCGGGACCUAAGGCGAGGCCGACAGGCGUAGUCGAUGGACAACCGGUUGAUAUUCCGGUACCCGCUUUGAAGCGCCAAACAUCGAAUCCUCUGAUGCUAAGGCCGUGAAGCCGCCCUG
rnacentral:rRNA from 1 species